AGAAGAAGAGGAGGAGGAAGAGGAGGAAGAACAAGAAGAAGUAAAAGGAGGACGAAGGCGACAGGCUGCUAUUCAAACACGGACAGAAAACUAACAAAAACCUGACAUUGCACUGGAUUUAUUUGUAAUCUUGCUUGUUUUUGUAAUCUUUCUCUCCGUCUAUGAUCAUGUUUACUUCCUGUGUAAAUGUCACGUUUAGCUAAAUGUACGCUCUUUUUUUAUUAUUAUUAUUUUUGCCAAAGCCUCUAUCAUGCUUCUAUUAUUAGCCUAGUUCUGUGACUGUAAAUAUUGUAAAUAUCUUAAUAUCUAUUUGAAUGUUAUGUGUAUUCCAAUCUGCAUUUAUUGACCAUUUGAGUUGAAAAUUUAAAAAUGUCAGUGUGAAUCUACUAUCAUUGCUUUACACAUUAUUAUUAUUAUUAUAUUAUUAUUAUUUAAGAAACAUUUGAGGAGAAAGUGCUGUUUUUUUUUUUUAAAUAGCUUGAUUUGGCCCACAGUGUAGCCAGUGAGAAAAUACCUCGUUAUUAAAUGUUAUUCUUAAUAAUAUUGGCUUAUAUCGGAAUAAUGCCAAUUCUGAACAUUUGCCUGUAAGCAAUGGUGAAGAAUAUGUUUUUUUAUAAUAACAAUUUACCAUGAAAACA